CCUACGGGAGGCAGCAGUGGGGAAUCUUGCGCAAUGGCCGAAAGGCUGACGCAGCGACGCCGCGUGUGGGAGGACGCCCUUCGGGGUGUAAACCACUGUUGCCCGGGACGAAACUCCUUUUUCGAGAGGACUGACGGUACCGGGUGAGGAAGCACCGGCUAACUCCGUGCCAGCAGCCGCGGUAAUACGGAGGGUGCGAGCGUUGUCCGGAAUCACUGGGCGUAAAGGGCGCGUAGGUGGCAAGGCAAGCGUGCGGUGAAAGCCCGGGGCUCAACUCCGGGUCGGCCGUGCGAACUGCCGUGCUCGAGCAUGGUAGAGGCAGGUGGAAUUCCGGGUGUAGCGGUGGAAUGCGUAGAGAUCCGGAAGAACACCGGUGGCGAAGGCGGCCUGCUGGGCCAUGGCUGACACUGAGGCGCGACAGCGUGGGGAGCAAACAGGAU
rnacentral:rRNA from 1 species